GUCUUCCUUCAAGGACAAGUCUCACACCGCACACAGGAGAGUCACCUACCAUUGUAGCUAGAGCUAAGGAGAGGGGGUUUCUUUCCUCCACAAGAUGGCUGCCCUCUGGGUCAGGGCCUGGGUGCUGUUAUUUCCUAACUGGGUGAAAUGGUAAGGGCCUUUUGCAGCCCUACAUAACUUCCGCUGUUUGAAGGGUGUGUGGGCAAGGAUGCUGACUUCAGGAAUGGAGAAGCAGUUUCCACUGGAGAGCAAUGUGGUGCCUUCAGGACUGUGCCAUGUGAACAUCUCGUUAGCACGUUCUCCAUUCCUCCCAGCAAGGCACUCUCUGUGAUGGGAAGAGAUGAGGAGGGAAAGCUCUGUGAGACCAUGGUGGGAGCAAGGCUUGGAGAAGCCAGGAGCGCCGCUCUGUCGGGAUCUUCGCUGCAUCAUCUUCAUUAGUAUCCGUCCUCCCUGGUCAAGCAUGGCCCCACUCCGUGACAGAAGGCUCAUCUCCCCCCAACAUUAAAAGAGCUACUUUAGUGACUCUCA